UUCAUGCUCUCUUGCUCCCUCUUACUCCUCCUCUCUCCCCAUUCCCAUCCCCCUCUUCCCACGUGAUCAUGGCCAGCCUCUACUUCUCUAGGCUAGGACCAGAACAAGAAAGCUGGCAGCAGUAGCAUAAGAUCGUGGUGACAGAAAAUGAGUUUGUCCAGACAGCUGGCAGUAUGUGUGAAGUUCCCUGAAAAUAUACAUCGCAGCACCCGUUGAGUGAUGGGAAUGUUACUGAACUAUUUAUGCCUACAUCCCGAGAAGAGCCAGCUCUGUGGAAAGGUAGCCAGCCAGCCACAUGUCUCAAGUGCUCUACUCCAUCUCCAAACAGGAUAAGGAAUAUUUUCGUAAUCAUCAAGAUGCCUCGUUAAAUAGCUGUUGUGAAUCCGCUAACACGGAACUAUGACGAUCAGCACUGUAUGACUCCUGCCCAGCCAGCCUUCUCCGGCACACUUAUUUUCUCAAUAAGAUACAUCUCAGUCAUCCUGUAGUUUAGCUCAUACGCAGCACUUAGCACAAAAAGUGUCAGAAUCACCACAAAAAGUGCGAAGCUAUGGUACCAAGAAGACUGAAGAGAAAAAUCACUUAAGACAUGAAAACUAAAUUAAGAAGACAGACUGGAUAUAUUGGGUGACCCAAAGUCGAACCAUUCUGUGUUUCAAAUGAUGCAGAAGAGCCACAAAGUACCAAUUUUGAAACCUUGAGUUCAUUUUUUGUGAAUAGACUAAGAGGGAAUUUUCAAGUAAUGGAAACUGGUUGGAUACAACACACACACACACAUACACACACACAUACACACACACACAUACACACACACAUACACACACAUACACACACACACACAUACACAUGUACACACACACACCUGAUACCACGCACUUGCAACAUACUUACACGGCAGCAGCUGGGGGUCUUGGCGUUUGUCUCACUGGUAUAUGCACCAUGCCUAACAAAGGACAGGACUUUAGAGGCCAACAGUAAACAUGUGUUUGAUAAGUAAACAAAUCACUGAAAGUCCCACAAGGUUGACUGUACACUCACAGAGAGCACACUCCAGAACAUAGUCUGUAGAGGGUAGACAUUAUCUUACAAAAGCUACCAUAGCUUCACCUGGAAUGAGGUAAAUAAUAAAUUAUCUUGUGGUGAUGCUGAUGAUCACCUUCGUAACCUUUAUGGGUUAAAACACAUUCACACAGCUCCAAGACUGUAUUGUUGUGUAUCAGCAGAUGGUUGAUUCAACGUUGUCAACAAUCUCUUUGGAACAGUUUUGUUUUUCAUAAAGCCCAAAGAAAAACUGAAUGGGUUAGUGCACAGACCCAGUUAUGUUUGCUUGGCCUCACUCGGGUUCUAUUUUUGUAAUCUAUUUGGACUUUCGAAGGCCCAAAGAGAGACCAAGAGUUCAUGAAUGUAUUUUGGAAGGGCUCAAGAUGGGUUGAAGAGGAAAAUUGGCAUAGCGCUAUCUAGUGAUCAACAGUAAAACAUGGGACCAUUGAGGUGGGUUUGGACCAUGUGUUGGCUAAUUUCAUGUCAACUUGACACAAGCUAUAAUUAUCGGAGGUGAGGGAACCUAAAGUGAGACAUUACCUCCACGAGAUUGAUUUGUAGGCAAACUAUAGGGCAAUUUCUUAAUAGAAAUGGGGGCAGGCCCAAUCCAUAGUGGGUGGAACCACCCCUGGGCUGCUGGUGUUAGAAACAGGCUAAGGAAACCACCCACUGAGGAACAAGCCAGCAAGCCUCACUCCUCCACCGCCUCUGCACUGCUCCUACCUCCAGAUUCCUGCCCUGUUUGAGUUCCUGCCCUAACUGCUUUUCACAAUGAACUGUUGUACGGAAGUGUGAGUGAAAUAAACUUGUUCCUCUUCA